AAACUCAAAGGAAUUGACGGGGACCCGCACAAGCGGUGGAUGAUGUGGAUUAAUUCGAUGCAACGCGAAAAACCUUACCUACCCUUGACAUGUCUGGAAUCCCGAAGAGAUUUGGGAGUGCUCGCAAGAGAACCGGAACACAGGUGCUGCAUGGCUGUCGUCAGCUCGUGUCGUGAGAUGUUGGGUUAAGUCCCGCAACGAGCGCAACCCUUGUCAUUAGUUGCUACGAAAGGGCACUCUAAUGAGACUGCCGGUGACAAACCGGAGGAAGGUGGGGAUGACGUCAAGUCCUCAUGGCCCUUAUGGGUAGGGCUUCACACGUCAUACAAUGGUCGGGACAGAGGGUCGCCAACCCGCGAGGGGGAGCCAAUCCCAGAAACCCGAUCGUAGUCCGGAUCGCAGUCUGCAACUCGACUGCGUGAAGUCGGAAUCGCUAGUAAUCGCGGAUCAGCAUGUCGCGGUGAAUACGUUCCCGGGUCUUGUACACACCGCCCGUC
rnacentral:rRNA from 1 species